GCUCCCGUAGUUGAACUGGAUACAACGCCUCCCUCCGAAGGAGGUGGCACAGGUUCAAGUCCUGUCGGGAGCA
rnacentral:tRNA from 2 species